rnacentral:rRNA from 1 species
CCUACGGGAGGCAGCAGUGGGGAAUAUUGCGCAAUGGGCGAAAGCCUGACGCAGCAACGCCGCGUGCGGGAUGAAGGCCUUCGGGUCGUAAACCGCUUUCAGCAGGAACGAUUAUGACGGUACCUGCAGAAGAAGCACCGGCCAACUACGUGCCAGCAGCCGCGGUAAUACGUAGGGUGCAAGCGUUGUCCGGAUUUAUUGGGCGUAAAGAGCUCGUAGGUGGCAAAGUAAGUCGGAAGUUAAACCGCUGGGCUCAACCCAGCGUUGCUACCGAUACUGCUUAGCUUGAGUAUGGCAGGGGAGAACGGAAUUCCACGUGUAGCGGUGAAAUGCGCAGAUAUGUGGAGGAACACCAAUGGCGAAGGCAGUUCUCUGGGCCAUUACUGACACUGAGGAGCGAAAGCGUGGGGAGCGAACAGGAUUAGAUACCCUAGUAGUCC